rnacentral:lncRNA from 1 species
AAUGCAGGAGCGUUAUCCCGAGUUAUUUGCGAGUGAAAUGUAAGUGAGUUUUGGGGACGAAACUCAUGUAAAGAGGGGAUAAUGUGAGGACCGAGAAUUUUGCAAUGUAAGUAAACUCUAUUUUGAUGAUAUUUUUAUGUGUAUUUUGAUUUUAAAACUACCCGUCAAAUUUCAACAGAAAAUAAUUUAAAAUAAAAACUUUACGCUAUUAUUAAUUUUCACUUAAGUGAAUAGUAACUCAUGUUUCCG